rnacentral:lncRNA from 1 species
AGAAAGAGAAGAGACCAAUCAUUUCAAUCAGCUGUUCCUUCAGUUGUGAGAAGGGAGAUUGACAUUGUUGGUGUCAGAGAUUGAGGUUAUGACUGACUUGGAAAGACAACCUAUAGAAUGGCUUAGUGCCGAUUCUUGCUUGCAAGUACUAUAGUGGCCUGCGUUAGAAAGGGUAGUGAGAAUCUUCUUUUUGUUUUUGUUUUUUGUUUUUUU